UACGAACUGUGCGAACGUUAUUCGGAAUCACUGGGCUUACAGGGUGCGUAGGCGGCUCAACAAGUCAGGUGUGAAAGCCCCCGGCUCAACCGGGGAACUGCGCUUGAAACUGUUAGGCUCGAGUCAGCUAGAGGUACACGGAACUUCCAGUGGAGCGGUGAAAUGUGUUGAUAUUGGAAGGAACACCGGAGGCGAAAGCGGUGUACUGGGGCUGGUCUGACGCUGAGGCACGAAAGCCAGGGGAACGAACGGG
rnacentral:rRNA from 1 species